GUUACAUGCCAGGAAUGCUGGCCAAGCCGGAGGCAUUGCUGGAAGCUGAAAAACAACAACAGCUGCAACAUGUUGUGGAACAGCCUCCAUCUGUGAAUUCUCCACUGCAUUAGUCACGGCAGCUCGGGUUCUGAGAUGUCAACAUUACCUACGAACCAAAGUUAGUCAGGGGUUGAGCUGUCCCUACCUUAAUGGGCCGAUGCAGUGCCUGAGGAGUUGGAGGUAACGAUUAGCUCCUGGCACCAGAACGAUGACAUUACCUGCGCUUCUGACUCAGCCAGUCAACCAGCAGUAUCUGGCGACGGGCUGCCUCCACGUGACGCGCAAGUGGGUGCGACAUGAAUUCCCUGUGGAAAAGCCCGCUGUACCCACCGGUGACCAGCUGACCUACCACCG